rnacentral:rRNA from 1 species
UACAGGGGGAGCAAGCGUUGUUCGGAUUUACUGGGCGUAAAGGGCGGGUAGGCGGCCACCGCAAGUCAGUUGUGAAAUCUCCGGGCUUAACCCGGAAAGGUCAACUGAUACUGCGGGGCUAGAGUGCAGAAGGGGCAACUGGAAUUCUCGGUGUAGCGGUGAAAUGCGUAGAUAUCGAGAGGAACACCUGCGGCGAAGGCGGGUUGCUGGGCUGACACUGACGCUGAACUGCGAAAGCUAGGGGAGCGAACGGG